rnacentral:rRNA from 1 species
GAUGAACGCUGGCGGCGUGCCUAAUACAUGCAAGUCGAGCGAACAGACGAGGAGCUUGCUCCUCUGACGUUAGCGGCGGACGGGUGAGUAACACGUGGAUAACCUGCCUAUAAGACUGGGAUAACUUCGGGAAACCGGAGCUAAUACCGGAUAAUAUAUUGAACCGCAUGGUUCAAUAGUGAAAGACGGUUUUGCUGUCACUUAUAGAUGGAUCCGCGCCGCAUUAGCUAGUUGGUAAGGUAACGGCUUACCAAGGCGACGAUGCGUAGCCGACCUGAGAGGGUGAUCGGCCACACUGGAACUGAGACACGGUCCAGACUCCUACGGGAGGCAGCAGUAGGGAAUCUUCCGCAAUGGGCGAAAGCCUGACGGAGCAACGCCGCGUGAGUGAUGAAGGUCUUCGGAUCGUAAAACUCUGUUAUUAGGGAAGAACAAAUGUGUAAGUAACUAUGCACGUCUUGACGGUACCUAAGCAGAAAGCCACGGCUAACUACGU